UUACACUUUUUAAUAAAGAAAUUGAAUAACACAAAAGCGUAAAACAAGUCUCCAUAAAAUCCAGAGAAGAGAUUGUAAAACUUCUCUUUGGAUCCUGUCUAGAGUCAUAGCU